CUGAAGAAAUGGCAAGGUUGAGCUGACUUCUCGGAGUAUGUGCUCACUCUGUCGCUUUUUCUACUUUCCACUGUGAACCUUAUGUAGGCUUGAUGAAACAGAAGGAAUGGGCUCUUAUGGCCCUUUCCAAUCCGAUUUGUUAAGCCUAUGUCUAUAUAUACGCUAAUAAAGUUGAUGAAUGUCUUUAUUGUUGGUCUUUGACCGAUAAGAAUCUUGUA
rnacentral:misc_RNA from 1 species